rnacentral:tRNA from 1 species
GGGAAUGUGGCUUAGUGGUAAAGUGCUUGCCUAACAUGCAUGAAGAUCUGGGUUUGAUUCCUCAGUAUCA